rnacentral:rRNA from 1 species
CUGGCCUUGACAUCCUGCGAACUUUCUAGAGAUAGAUUGGUGCCUUCGGGAACGCAGUGACAGGUGCUGCAUGGCCGUCGUCAGCUCGUGUCGUGAGAUGUUGGGUUAAGUCCCGUAACGAGCGCAACCCCUAUCCCUAGUUGCUAGCAGGUAAUGCUGAGAACUCCAGGGAGACUGCCGGUGACAAACCGGAGGAAGGUGGGGAUGACGUCAGGUCAUCAUGGCCCUUACGGCCAGGGCUACACACGUGCUACAAUGGCGCGUACAGAGGGCUGCCAACUCGCGAGAGUGAGCCAAUCCCUUAAAACGCGUCGUAGUCCGGAUCGGAGUCUGCAACUCGACUCCGUGAAGUCGGAAUCGCUAGUAAUCGCGAAUCAGAAUGUCGCGGUGAAUACGUUCCC